rnacentral:rRNA from 1 species
CUACGGGUCGCUGCAGUCGGGAGUUUUCUGCAAUGCGCGCAAGCGUGACAGAGCGAACCAGAGUGCUUCUCAUAGAGAAGCUUUUGCCGAAUCCAAAAGUCCGGCGAAUAAGGACUGGGUAAGACUAGUGCCAGCCGCCGCGGUAAUCCUAGCGGUCCAAGUCGCAGCCAACAUUAUUAGGUCUAAACAUCCGUAGCUUGCUUUGUAAGCCUCUUGUGAAAUCCGGCCUCUUAAGGGUCGGGCGGGCAGGAGGUACUGCGGAGCUAGAGAUUGGGAGACGUAAGGAGUACGGUCAAAGUAGUGGUUAAAUACGUUAAUCUUGGCCGGACUAACAACAGCGAAGGCACCUUACGAGAACAGUUCUGACAGUAAGGGAUGAAAGCUAGGGGCGCAAAACGGAUUAGAUACCCCCGUAGUC